UUGAGAGUUUGAUCCUGGCUCAGAACGAACGCUGGCGGCAGGCCUAACACAUGCAAGUCGAGCGCACCCUUGAACUUCGGUUCUCUGGGCGAGCGGCGGACGGGUUAGUAACGCGUGGGAAUGUACCCUUCUCUAUGGAAUAGCCUCGGGAAACUGAGAGUAAUACCAUAUACGCCCUUCGGGGGAAAGAUUUAUCGGAGAAGGAUCGGCCCGCGUUAGAUUAGAUAGUUGGUGGGGUAAUGGCCUACCAAGUCUACGAUCUAUAGCUGGUUUUAGAGGAUGAUCAGCCACACUGGGACUGAGACACGGCCCAGACUCCUACGGGAGGCAGCAGUGGGGAAUAUUGGACAAUGGGGGCAACCCUGAUCCAGCGAUGCCGCGUGAGUGAUGAAGGCCUUAGGGUUGUAAAACUCUUUCAGGGGUGAAGAUAAUGACGGUAACCCCAGAAGAAGCUCCGGCUAACUCCGUGCCAG
rnacentral:rRNA from 1 species